rnacentral:misc_RNA from 1 species
GUGAAUCAUCGAAUUUUUGAACGCAAAUUGCGCUUCCUGGCAUCCCGGGGAGUAUGCCUGUUUGAGGGUCAGUAUUAAUCAAAAAUCGGUUUAGUUACAAUUUGUGACGUUUCUGGAGUUUGGGCUAUCUUAACAUUUUUGGUUAAGAAGCUUAAACUUGACCUUUUUUGCGCAUUUUUAAACGGACAUACUUUUUUUUUUUCGUCUUUUUUUAUUGCUAA